rnacentral:rRNA from 1 species
UACGAAGGGAGCUAGCGUUACUCGGAAUCACUGGGCGUAAAGCGUAUGUAGGCUGAACUAUAAGUCAGGGGUGAAAUCCCGGGGCUCAACCCCGGAAUUGCCUUUGAAACUGUAGUUCUUGAGUUUGACAGAGGAUGGUGGAAUUUCUAGUGUAGAGGUGAAAUUCGUAGAUAUUAGAAAGAACACCGGUGGCGAAGGCGACCAUCUGGGUCAAUACUGACGCUGAGAUACGAAAGCGUGGGGAGCAAACAGG